rnacentral:rRNA from 1 species
GACGAACGCUGGCGGCGCGCCUAACACAUGCAAGUCGAACGGAGCUGAGAGAAGCUUGCUUUUCUUAGCUUAGUGGCGAACGGGUGAGUAACGCGUGAGUAACCUGCCCUGGAGUGGGGGACAACAGUUGGAAACGACUGCUAAUACCGCAUAAGCCCACGAUCCGGCAUCGGAUUGAGGGAAAAGGAUUUAUUCGCUUCAGGAUGGACUCGCGUCCAAUUAGCUAGUUGGUGAGGUAACGGCCCACCAAGGCGACGAUUGGUAGCCGGACUGAGAGGUUGAACGGGCACAUUGGGACUGAGACACGGCCCAGACUCCUACGGGAGGCAGCAGUGGGGGAUAUUGCACAAUGGGGGAAACCCUGAUGCAGCGACGCCGCGUGGAGGAAGAAGGUUUUCGGAUUGUAAACUCCUGUCGUUAGGGACGAUAAUGACGGUACCUAACAAGAAAGCACCGGCUAACUACGUG